UUUGGUUAUAGCUCUGAGCAAUUUGGGUUGCAGCUCUCCUUAGAAAAGAUGAGAAAUGAUGAGUUGGAGGAUCCAAAGGAAACACCUGAAGAGAUGGCCUCGAACUUUACCUGUGCAAUGUUUGAGAGUCCUCAAGCUGUACUGAAGGGAGCUAGGCAUAUGGCUGCUAUUGAGAUUAGUUGUGAACCUUGUGUAAGGAAGCAUGUCAGGA
rnacentral:misc_RNA from 1 species